GACAGAGGGUGCAAACGUUGUUCGGAAUUACUGGGCGUAAAGCGUGUGUAGGCGGUCUCAUAAGUCGGGUGUGAAAGCCCCGGGCUCAACCCGGGAAGUGCACUCGAAACUGCGAGGCUAGAGUACUGGAGAGGUUGGUGGAAUUCUCGGUGUAGAGGUGAAAUUCGUAGAUAUCGAGAGGAACACCGGUGGCGAAGGCGGCCAACUGGACAGAUACUGACGCUGAGGUGCGAAAGCGUGGGGAGCAAACAGG
rnacentral:rRNA from 1 species